rnacentral:rRNA from 1 species
UACGUAGGCAGCAAGCGUUGUUCGGAAUUAUUGGGCGUAAAGAGCUCGUAGGCGGUCUGUCGCGUCGGCUGUGAAAACCCGGAGCUCAACUCCGGGCCUGCAGUCGAUACGGGCAGACUGGAGUUCGGCAGGGGAGACUGGAAUUCCUGGUGUAGCGGUGAAAUGCGCAGAUAUCAGGAGGAACACCGGUGGCGAAGGCGGGUCUCUGGGCCGAUAUUGACGCUGAGGAGCGAAAGCGUGGGGAGCAAACAGG